rnacentral:rRNA from 1 species
CCUACGGGUGGCAGCAGUGAGGAAUAUUGGUCAAUGGACGCAAGUCUGAACCAGCCAAGCCGCGUGAAGGAAGAAGGCUCAAUGAGUUGUAAACUGCUGUUGUAAGAGGGUAAAUGCAGAUACGCGUAGCUGUCUGAAAGUAUCGUACGAAUAAGGAUCGGCUAACUCCGUGCCAGCAGCCGCGGUAAUACGGAGGAUUCAAGCGUUAUACGGAGUUAUUGGGUUGAAAGGGUGCGUAGGAGGGCGGAUAAGGUAGAGGUGAAAUCCCGAGGCUCAACUCCGUAAUUGCCUCUGAUACUGUUCGGCUCGAGCGUAGUUGCGGUAGGCGGACUGUGUGGUGUAGCGGU